GUCACCUUGUGCAAGGUAU
rnacentral:snRNA from 1 species